rnacentral:rRNA from 1 species
GUGAACGCUGGCGGUAGGCCUAACACAUGCAAGUCGAACGGCAGCACAGUAAGAGCUUGCUCUUACGGGUGGCGAGUGGCGGACGGGUGAGGAAUACAUCGGAAUCUACUUUUUCGUGGGGGAUAACGUAGGGAAACUUACGCUAAUACCGCAUACGACCUACGGGUGAAAGCAGGGGAUCUUCGGACCUUGCGCGAUUGAAUGAGCCGAUGUCGGAUUAGCUAGUUGGCGGGGUAAAGGCCCACCAAGGCGACGAUCCGUAGCUGGUCUGAGAGGAUGAUCAGCCACACUGGAACUGAGACACGGUCCAGACUCCUACGGGAGGCAGCAGUGGGGAAUAUUGGACAAUGGGCGCAAGCCUGAUCCAGCCAUACCGCGUGGGUGAAGAAGGCCUUCGGGUUGUAAAGUCCUUUUGUUGGGAAAGAAAAGCAGCAGGUUAAUACCCCGCUGUUCUGACGGUACCCAAAGAAUAAGCACCGGCUAACUUCGUG